GUGACUGCUUCAAUGAAUACAAUGUGAUAGAAGUCAUGCUGCAUGAUAUUGGAGACUAGGUCAUAUAACUUCCAUUUGAUGCUCUCUUUCUUUCUCUCUCUUUUAGGACUCACAUCCUUGGAUCCCAGACUCUUUGAUGACAGGAAGGCCAAACUAUCUCAAAUAUGAUUUUGGUUCUAACAACCAACCCUCAUGGCCUAUUCUUGGAGAACUUCCAUCAGGGUACUUGAGCCAACUUGUACUCACAAAUGCCCAAGAAGUGCCUGGAUGACUGUGAUGGUUAAUUUUCUGUGUGCCGAAGGCAAAGGGAAUACAGAUUUUGUAGUGGAAGAAAUCCUAGGGCCCAGGAGCUGCAAUGGGCCAUUCUCAUCUGAAGGAAUUGCCUCAGCUUGUUAGAGGACUGGCAUGAAAGGAACAAUCGUGAUAGUGGGCAUAACACAUAAACCCUCUGGGACUCCCUUUGGUCAUCCACAAAUGGCAGUAAAGAGAUGAGCGCCUCCUUGUUCUCACUCACAGGUGGGAAUUGAACAAUGAGAACACUUGGACACAGGGUAGGGAACAUCACACACUGGAGCCUGUGGCAGGGCGGUGGGGUGGUCUGAGGGAGGGAUAGCUUUAGGAGAAAUACCUAAUGGAAAUGACGAGCUGAUGGGUGCAGCAAACCAACAUGGCACAUGUAUACCUAUGCAACAAACCUGCAUGUUGUGUACAUGUACCCUAGAACUUAAAGUAUUAUAAUAAAAAAAAAGAAA